AUUGAACGCUGGCGGCAUGCUUUACACAUGCAAGUCGAACGGCAGCACGGACUUCGGUCUGGUGGCGAGUGGCGAACGGGCGAGUAAUACAUCGGAACGUGCCCAGUUGUGGGGGAUAACUACUCGAAAGAGUAGCUAAUACCGCAUGAGAACUGAGGUUGAAAGCAGGGGAUCGUAAGACCUUGCGCAACUGGAGCGGCCGAUGGCAGAUUAGGUAGUUGGUGGGAUAAAAGCUUACCAAGCCGACGAUCUGUAGCUGGUCUGAGAGGACGACCAGCCACACUGGGACUGAGACACGGCCCAGACUCCUACGGGAGGCAGCAGUGGGGAAUUUUGGACAAUGGGCGAAAGCCUGAUCCAGCAAUGCCGCGUGCAGGAUGAAGGCCUUCGGGUUGUAAACUGCUUUUGUACGGAACGAAAAGCUUCGGGUUAAUACCCUGGAGUCAUGACGGUACCGUAAGAAUAAGCACCGGCUAACUACGUGCCAGCCGCCGCCGUAAUAC
rnacentral:rRNA from 1 species